rnacentral:tRNA from 1 species
GCUUUUAUAGCUUAAAUUUAGAGCAUGACGCUGAAGACGUCAACGUAAUCGGCAGAUUUAAAAGCA